UUAAAUUGAAGAGUUUGAUCAUGGCUCAGAUUGAACGCUGGCGGCAGGCCUAACACAUGCAAGUCGAACGGUAACAGGAAGCAGCUUGCUGCUUCGCUGACGAGUGGCGGACGGGUGAGUAAUGUCUGGGAAACUGCCUGAUGGAGGGGGAUAACUACUGGAAACGGUAGCUAAUACCGCAUAACGUCGCAAGACCAAAGAGGGGGACCUUCGGGCCUCUUGCCAUCGGAUGUGCCCAGAUGGGAUUAGCUAGUAGGUGGGGUAACGGCUCACCUAGGCGACGAUCCCUAGCUGGUCUGAGAGGAUGACCAGCCACACUGGAACUGAGACACGGUCCAGACUCCUACGGGAGGCAGCAGUGGGGAAUAU
rnacentral:rRNA from 1 species